rfam:Candidatus Woesebacteria bacterium RIFCSPHIGHO2_01_FTLL_44_21 rifcsphigho2_01_scaffold_342, whole genome shotgun sequence.
UUAAUUGAGGGUUUGAUCCUGGCCCAGGGUAAACGCUGGCGGCGUACUUUAUGCAUGCAAGUAGAACGGUUCCGGCUUGCCGGAACAGUUGCGAACGGCUGAGUAACACGUAGGGAUCUACCCAUUGGUGUGGAAUAGUCCACCGAAAGGUGGGGUAAUACCGCAUAAUCCCGCAAGGGCAAAGGGCUUAACUGCCCGCCGAUGGAGGAACCUGCGCACCAUCAGUUUGUUGGUGAGGUAAUGGCUUACCAAGACUACGACGGUUAGGGGGCGUGAGAGCGCGUACCCCCAGAAUAGGACUGAGACACGGCCUAUACACCUACGGGUGGCAGCAACAGGGAAUCGUGCACAAUGGACGCAAGUCUGAUGCCGUGACGCCGCGUGAAGGAUGAAGGCCUUCGGGUUGUAAACUUCUUUUGACCCCUCUGAAAGGCGGGGUAGAAUAAGCACCGGCUAACUUCGUGCCAGCAGCAGCGGUAAUACGAAGGGUGUAAGCGUUGCCCGGAUUUAUUGGGCGUAAAGUGUUUCGUAGGCGGCACGUAAAGUCGCGUUUCAAAGACCCCAGCUUAACUGGGGAAAGGGACGCGAUACUUACGUGCUUGAAGAAUGUUGGGGUCACUGGAACUGUCGGUGUAGGGGUGAAAUCCGUUGAUAUCGACAGGAACUCCGAAGGCGAAGGCGGGUGACUAAGCAAAUCUUGACGCUGAGGAACGACAGCUAGGGGAGCGAAAGGGAUGGAGUAAAACUCUAGUCCCCCUGCUAAGUAAUUAGCAGUGAGAAAAACUGACUGUAUCGGUGAAUAUCCUACUAUUUCGGUAUAUCUUUAGUAUACUGAAAUUAUGAGGACAAUACCGAGGGAAGUCUGUUUAAGUGAAACUCAAAAGGCUGUGUUGGUAGGGACACUUUUAGGAGAUGGAGCAAUAAAACUUCAUGGAAAGAAUGCUCGAUUGCAUAUUAAGCACUCGAGAAAUCAACUUCCAUUAGUUUUAUAUAAAUAUUUUGUAUUUGCAAAUUUUAUUUCAAUGGAUGUUAAUGUUUUUGAGCAGCGAGUUGGUAAAAAAGAUUAUAAAUUUGCCGAAUUCGUCACUCAUACCCAUCCAGAAUUUACUGCAUAUUAUGACUUAUUUUACCCGUCUUUUAAAAAGAUUGUGCCUGCAAACAUAAAUGUAUUGCUAAGCAAUCCACUUUCUUUUGCAGUAUGGAUUAUGGAUGAUGGUUCGGCAGAAUACGCUGGACUGUCCAUCCAAACUCAUUCAUUUACUGCGAAAGAUGUACAAAGGUUGCAAGAAGCAAUACUCACUAAUUUUGAGAUUGAAACUUUAACUCACAAAAAUAAGGGUAGAGAUAUAAUUUAUUUUCCUAAACAAAGUUUGAGUAAACUUCGAAAACAAGUUUUCAAAUUCAUUUUACCGGAAUUUAAAUAUAAAUUUCUUCCUUAUUCAGCGAGAAUACAGACCCCGUAGAGACUACAUGUCGGGACCCAAUCCCAUUAGAUAAAUUAUCUAACGGGACGGGUUAUGAUAUAGUCCGAGCUGCAUAGUAAUAUGUAGAAUCUUGCAGAAAUGACAAGAUCUUCUCUAUUAAUUAGAGAAUGUAACAAUAUAGUAGAGACCCCUGUAGUCCUAGCCGUAAACUAUGUCCGCUAGCUUUUUUCUCCCGCUUAGCGGGAGAGGGGCGUAAGCUAACGCGUGAAGCGGACCGCCUGGGGAGUACGAACGCAAGUUUAAAACUCAAAGGAAUUGACGGGGACCUGCACAACCAGUGGAUUAUGUGGUUUAAUUCGAGACAAACCGAAGAACCUUACCUGGACUUGACAUGCUAUCGUUUUAGUUCUGAUGAAAAUUGGGAUGAUCCUAAAUUUAUUUGGGAUGAUAGCACAGGUGUUGCAUGGCCGUCGUCAGCUCGUGCCGUGGGGUGUUCCCUUAAGUGGGGUAACGAGCGCAACCCCUGUCCUAUGUUGAAUAAUCAUAGGAGACUUUUUGAUCUUUGUAUCAGAAGGAAGUGGGGACGACGUCAGGUCAGCAUGGCCCUUAUGUCCAGGGCUACACACAUAAUACAAUGGCAUCGACAAUGGGUUGCCAAGCCGUAAGGCGGAGCUAAUCCCAUAAACGAUGUCUCAGUGGGGAUUGAGGGCUGCAAUUCGCCCUCAUGAACGCGGAAUUGGUAGUAAUCGGGAGUCAGCUAAAUCCCGGUGAAUACGUUCUCAGGUCUUGUACACACCGCCCGUCAAGGCAGUAAAGUUAGGGGCACCCGAAUUCCGAGUGAUCGGAAGAAGGUGAAACUAGCGAUAAGGCUUAAGUCGUAACAAGGUAUCCGUUCUGGAAGGAGCGGAUGGAUCACCUCCUUU